rnacentral:rRNA from 1 species
UACGAAGGGGACUAGCGUUGUUCGGAAUUACUGGGCGUAAAGCGCACGUAGGCGGAUUCGUAAGUCAGGGGUGAAAUCCCGGGGCUCAACCUCGGAACUGCCUUUGAUACUGCGGAUCUCGAGCCCGAUAGAGGUGGGUGGAAUUCCUAGUGUAGAGGUGAAAUUCGUAGAUAUUAGGAAGAACACCGGUGGCGAAGGCGGCCCACUGGAUCGGUACUGACGCUGAGGUGCGAAAGCGUGGGGAGCAAACAGG